CUGCUUCUGGGUCGGGGUUUCGUACGU
rnacentral:piRNA from 4 species